rnacentral:rRNA from 1 species
AGUGAACGCUGGCGGUAGGCCUAACACAUGCAAGUCGAACGGCAGCACAGUAAGAGCUUGCUCUUACGGGUGGCGAGUGGCGGACGGGUGAGGAAUACAUCGGAAUCUACUUUUUCGUGGGGGAUAACGUAGGGAAACUUACGCUAAUACCGCAUACGACCUACGGGUGAAAGCAGGGGAUCUUCGGACCUUGCGCGAUUGAAUGAGCCGAUGUCGGAUUAGCUAGUGGGCGAGGUAAAGGCCCACCAAGGCAACGAUCCGUAGCUGGUCUGAGAGGAUGAUCGGCCACAAUGGAACUGAGACACGGUCCAGACUCCUACGGGAGGCAGCAGUAGGGAAUCUUCCGCAAUGGGCGAAAGCCUGACGCAGCAACGCCGCGUGAGUGAUGAAGGUCUUCGGAUCGUAAAGCUCUGUUAUUAGGGAAGAACAUAUGUGUGAGUAACUGUGCCUAUCUUGACGGUACCUAAUCAGAAAGCAACGGCUAACUACGUG